GAAAGCGUAAUAGCUCACUGGUCGAGUCGGCCUGCGCGGAAGAUGUAACGGGGCUAAACCAUGCACCGAAGCUGCGGCAGCGACACUGUGUGUUGUUGGGUAGGGGAGCGUUCUGUAAGCCUGUGAAGGUGGCCUGUGAGGGUUGCUGGAGGUAUCAGAAGUGCGAAUGCUGACAUAAGUAACGAUAAAGCGGGUGAAAAGCCCGCUCGCCGGAAGACCAAGGGUUCCUGUCCAACGUUAAUCGGGGCAGGGUGAGUCGACCCCUAAGGCGAGGCCGAAAGGCGUAGUCGAUGGGAAACGGGUUAAUAUUCCCGUACUUGGUGUUACUGCGAAGGGGGGACGGAGAAGGCUAUGUUGGCCGGGCGACGGUUGUCCCGGUUUAAGCGUGUAGGCUGGUUUUCCAGGCAAAUCCGGAAAAUCAAGGCUGAGGCGUGAUGACGAGGCACUACGGUGCUGAAGCAACAAAUGCCCUGCUUCCAGGAAAAGCCUCUAAGCAUCAGGUAACAUCAAAUCGUACCCCAAACCGACACAGGUGGUCAGGUAGAGAAUACCAAGGCGCUUGAGAGAACUCGGGUGAAGGAACUAGGCAAAAUGGUGCCGUAACUUCGGGAGAAGGCACGCUGACACGUAGGUGAAGUGAUUUACUCAUGGAGCUGAAGUCAGUCGAAGAUACCAGCUGGCUGCAACUGUUUAUUAAAAACACAGCACUGUGCAAACACGAAAGUGGACGUAUACGGUGUGACGCCUGCCCGGUGCCGGAAGGUUAAUUGAUGGGGUCAGCGCAAGCGAAGCUCCUGAUCGAAGCCCCGGUAAACGGCGGCCGUAACUAUAACGGUCCUAAGGUAGCGAAAUUCCUUGUCGGGUAAGUUCCGACCUGCACGAAUGGCGUAAUGAUGGCCAGGCUGUCUCCACCCGAGACUCAGUGAAAUUGAACUCGCUGUGAAGAUGCAGUGUACCCGCGGCAAGACGGAAAGACCCCGUGAACCUUUACUAUAGCUUGACACUGAACAUUGAGCCUUGAUGUGUAGGAUAGGUGGGAGGCUUUGAAGCGUGGACGCCAGUCUGCGUGGAGCCAACCUUGAAAUACCACCCUUUAAUGUUUGAUGUUCUAACGUGGACCCGUAAUCCGGGUUGCGGACAGUGUCUGGUGGGUAGUUUGACUGGGGCGGUCUCCUCCUAAAG
rnacentral:rRNA from 1 species